AACGAACGCUGGCGGCAGGCUUAACACAUGCGAGUCGAGCGCCCCGCAAGGGGAGCGGCAGACGGGUGAGUAACGCGUGGGAAUCUACCCAUCUCUACGGAAUAACGCAUGGAAACGUGUGCUAAUACCGUAUACGUCCUUCGGGAGAAAGAUUUAUCGGAGAUGGAUGAGCCCGCGUUGGAUUAGCUAGUUGGUGGGGUAAAGGCCUACCAAGGCGACGAUCCAUAGCUGGUCUGAGAGGAUGAUCAGCCACACUGGGACUGAGACACGGCCCAGACUCCUGCGGGAGGCAGCAGUGGGGAAUAUUGGACAAUGGGCGCAAGCCUGAUCCAGCCAUGCCGCGUGAGUGAUGAAGGCCCUAGGGAUGUAAAGCUCUUUCACCGGUGAAGAUAAUGACGGUAACCGGAGAAGAAGCCCCGGCUAACUUCGUGCCAGCAGCCGCGGUAAAAC
rnacentral:rRNA from 1 species